rnacentral:rRNA from 1 species
AGUGAACGCUGGCGGUAGGCCUAACACAUGCAAGUCGAACGGCAGCACAGUAAGAGCUUGCUCUUACGGGUGGCGAGUGGCGGACGGGUGAGGAAUACAUCGGAAUCUACUUUUUCGUGGGGGAUAACGUAGGGAAACUUACGCUAAUACCGCAUACGACCUACGGGUGAAAGCAGGGGAUCUUCGGACCUUGCGCGAUUGAAUGAGCCGAUGUCGGAUUAGCUAGUUGGCGGGGUAAAGGCCCACCAAGGCGACGAUCCGUAGCUGGUCUGAGAGGAUGAUCAGCCACACUGGAACUGAGACACGGUCCAGACUCCUACGGGAGGCAGCAGUGGGGAAUAUUGGACAAAGGGCGCAAGCCUGAUCCAGCCAUACCGCGUGGGUGAAGAAGGCCUUCGGGUUGUAAAGACCUUUUGUUGGGAAAGAAAAGCAGCAGGUUAAUACCCCGCUGUUCUGACGGUACCCAAAGAAUAAGCACCGGCUAACUUCGUG